GGAGAUCAUGGCUCCUCGUCCGAGAAGAAACAGAAAAGCCAGGUGGUGGCGGCUGCUCUGUUGCUUCUCCAGCACCACAAAGGAAGAAGAGGCUCCUGAGGCCCCUCCUGCCAGUCCACCAGAGACAGAGAACGUGACCUAUGAGGUAGAAGGAAGCUCCAGCCCUCGGGUAAGAAAUGAAGGGAUACCCUCUGGAAGAAAGGGGGGGUGGGGGUGGGCAGUAAGGGUAGCCACAAUAUCUAGCUGAUCGCUGAUGCCAGAGGGCACCAUGGAGUACACUUUGCUCCCCCACCCCUCCGGUAACUUUAAAUAUAACCCUGAGCUGGGAUAAGGACAGGCUUGGUUAUAACAUGAAUUAAUUAACACCCACAUGAUUUUAAUUCCUAGGAUUUACUCGACAGCGAAGGAACUCUUCAUAAUAUCAGCAGCAUCUGCGAUGAAGACUCAACCCGUA
rnacentral:lncRNA from 1 species